UACGUAGGGGGCAAGCGUUGUCCGGAUUUAUUGGGCGUAAAGGGUGCGUAGGCGGGUCUUUAAGUCAGGGGUGAAAUCCUGGAGCUCAACUCCAGAACUGCCUUUGAUACUGAAGAUCUUGAGUUCGGGAGAGGUGAGUGGAACUGCGAGUGUAGAGGUGAAAUUCGUAGAUAUUCGCAAGAACACCAGUGGCGAAGGCGGCUCACUGGCCCGAUACUGACGCUGAGGCACGAAAGCGUGGGGAGCAAACAGG
rnacentral:rRNA from 1 species